rnacentral:rRNA from 1 species
AUGACUAGGGAUAACCUUAGGAAGAGACACAUCAUCAAACCCCUUGAUUGUGUUUACUGCUUGGAACAAGAGUCUUGUUCUCACCUAUUUUUUUGUAUAGGUUCUAAACAUCUCUGGACCCACAUUGAGGUAUAUUUCUCUAGUCAGAUUGGCUCAUCCUUCGAAUCUGUCGCCAGAUUCUUGAUUGCUACCAAAAAGUGCUCAGUUUUAAACACUAUUAGCUCAGCUGUCCUUUGGUGCCUCUGGAAAUAUAGAAAUGCUAUGAUUUUCAGUAACACCUCCUGGAUUUCCAUUCCGUAGGUCUUGAGGUUGAUCAGGAACAUGGUGAGGAACUGGGCGAUUCUCUCAUCCGAAUCGGACAAGGACAAGUUGAUGAGCUUCAUGGAAACCCUAACAAGAUCCCUCCAGAAACCGUUGGCGAUCACUUGUGGCUGA